GACGAACGCUGGCGGCGUGCCUAAUACAUGCAAGUAGAACGCUGAAGGAGGAGCUUGCUUCUCUGGAUGAGAUGCGAACGGGUGAGUAACGCGUAGGUAACCUGCCUGGUAGCGGGGGAUAACUAUUGGAAACGAUAGCUAAUACCGCAUAACAGUAGAUAUUGCAUGAUAUCUGCUUGAAAGGUGCAAUUGCAUCACUACCAGAUGGACCUGCGUUGUAUUAGCUAGUUGGUGAGGUAACGGCUUACCAAGGCGACGAUACAUAGCCGACCUGAGAGGGUGAUCGGCCACACUGGGACUGAGACACGGCCCAGACUCCAACGGGAGGCAGCAGUAGGGAAUCUUCGGCAAUGGACGGAAGUCUGACCGAGCAACGCCGCGUGAGUGAAGAAGGUUUUCGGAUCGUAAAGCUCUGUUGUAAGAGAAGAACGAGUGUGAGAGUGGAAAGUUCACACUGUGACGGUAUCUUACCAGAAAGGGACGGCUAACUACGUGCCAGCAGCCGCGGUAAUACGUAGGUCCCGAGCGUUGUCCGGAUUUAUUGGGCGUAAAGCGAGCGCAGGCGGUUAGAUAAGUCUGAAGUUAAGGCUGUGGCUUAACCAUAGUACGCUUUGGAAACUGUUUAACUUGAGUGCAAGAGGGGAGAGUGGAUUUCCAUGUGUAGCGGUGAAAUGCGUAGAUAUAUGGAGGAACACCGGUGGCGAAAGCGGCUCUCUGGCUUGUAACUGACGCUGAGGCUCGAAAGCGUGGGGAGCAAACAGGAUUAGAUACCCUGGUAGUCCGCGCCGUAAACGAUGAGUGCUAGGUGUUAGACCCUUUCCGGGGUUUAGUGCCGUAGCUAACGCAUUAAGCACUCCGCCUGGGGAGUACGACCGCAAGGUUGAAACUCAAAGGAAUUGACGGGGGCCCGCACAAGCGGUGGAGCAUGUGGUUUAAUUCGAAGCAACGCGAAGAACCUUACCAGGUCUUGACAUCCCUCUGACCGCUCUAGAGAUAGAGUUUUCCUUCGGGACAGAGGUGACAGGUGGUGCAUGGUUGUCGUCAGCUCGUGUCGUGAGAUGUUGGGUUAAGUCCCGCAACGAGCGCAACCCCUAUUGUUAGUUGCCAUCAUUUAGUUGGGCACUCUAGCGAGACUGCCGGUAAUAAACCGGAGGAAGGUGGGGAUGACGUCAAAUCAUCAUGCCCCUUAUGACCUGGGCUACACACGUGCUACAAUGGCUGGUACAACGAGUCGCAAGUCGGUGACGGCAAGCUAAUCUCUUAAAGCCAGUCUCAGUUCGGAUUGUAGGCUGCAACUCGCCUACAUGAAGUCGGAAUCGCUAGUAAUCGCGGAUCAGCACGCCGCGGUGAAUACGUUCCCGGGCCU
rnacentral:rRNA from 1 species